GCCCUUGCGGAUCCGCGGCCGCUGCAGAGUUUGAUCCUGGCUCAGAAUCAACGCUGGCGGCGCGCUUAACACAUGCAAGUCGCACGAGAAAGGGGAGCAAUCCCUGAGUAAAGUGGCGCACGGGUGAGUAACACGUGGGUUAUCCGCCCUCUGGUGGGGAAUAACCCUGGGAAACCGGGGCUAAUACCGCAUAAGUCCGAGAGGAGAAAGCCGAAAGGCGCCAGAGGAGGAGCCCGCGGCCGAUUAGCUAGUUGGUGAGGUAAUGGCUCACCAAGGCGACGAUCGGUAGCCGGCCUGAGAGGGCACACGGCCACACUGGCACUGAAACACGGGCCAGACUCCCUACGGGAGGCAGCAGUGGGGAAUCUUGCACAAUCGGGGGGAAACCCUGGAUGCAGCGACGCCGCGUGAGCAAUGGAAGCCCCUCGGGGUGUAAAGCUCUCUCGGCAGGGACGAUGAUGACGGUACCUGCAGAAGAAGCUGCGGCUAACUACGUGCCAGCAGCCCCGGUAAUACGUAGGCAGCAAGCGUUGUUCGGAAUUACUUGGCGUAAAGCGUGCGUAGCCGCUUGUCUAA
rnacentral:rRNA from 1 species